GGGGAUGAACGGUCUCGACGGGGCAGGUUGUUCUGAGAUGGCAGGCCGUAGAGCGUCGGCUACGUUAAAAUAGGCGCAAACCUAUAAAUGCCAAAAACACUGGCAAGGCUUUCGCGUUCGGUGCACCGGCCACUUCGUUGGCCCUUGCUGCCUAACCGAUAAGCUAACUCCAUGACCUUCCACGGAAGGUCACGGCCCGCUUGGAUGGUGCGACCAGGUUGAGCGUAAGCCGUCAAACACUGGAACGCUGCGACAGUGAACGCCGGUAACACUGUCUAAGAUCACCCGGCUGGUCUGGCAACGAAUCCUGUCGCACGGAGUCCGCCAGACGACAUGAAAUAGCGCGACUAAGCCUGUAGAGGUCUCUGGACGAAUGUUUCGGACGCGGGUUCAACUCCCGCCAUCUCCACCU
rnacentral:tmRNA from 1 species